rnacentral:misc_RNA from 1 species
AAAGUCGUAACAAGGUUUCCGUAGGUGAACCUGCGGAAGGAUCAUUAUUGAAUAAAUCUGGCGUUAGGUUGUAGCUGGCUCUCAGGAGCAUGUGCACACCUCGUCACCUUUAUCUUUCCACCUGUGCACACACUGUAGUCCUGGAUACCUCUCGCCGAAAGGCGGAUGCGGAGCCUGCUGUGACUUUGGAAACAAAGGCCGGCUUGCUCUGAAUUUCCAGGUCUACGAUUUUUAUACACCCCUAAACGAAUGUUAUAGAAUGUAAUAUCACUGGGCCUAUGUGCCUAUAAACCUUAUACAACUUUCAACAACGGAUCUCUUGGCUCUC